AUGCCGCAUCAUUUCUGGUCGGCUGAGGGGGCCGAGGAGGUGCUUGGCUGCCGGGUCGAUUGCCUCGACCCCCGAACCCUAGAGCGCGGCCAUACCAAGACCUUUGCCUGCUGGGUCUGGGUGUGGGACACCGCCCCAAUCCCAACGAAGCACACAUUCUGGGUGCUUGACUGUGGGGCUGGCCGUGCGGAGCAGAUGCAUGGCUACUCCCCCCCGGACCGCAUCGUUGCUCCGCCACCCGACGCUCCGCGCCACGACCUCCUCAUCCACAUCGACCUGGUGGAGGACUGGACUCCGUACGAGCUGCGCUCGCCUUCAUCGGGCCAGAGUGGCAUCCCCUCCUCCGACACCGACGACGACGACAGGCCCAUGCCUAGGCUCUACCCCGCCACCUGGUCCAAGGGCGUCGAGGACGGCUAG
rnacentral:rRNA from 1 species